UGGAAGGAAGCUGUCUCUGCAAACAGCAUC
rnacentral:piRNA from 1 species